rnacentral:tRNA from 1 species
GGAGAGAUGCCUGAGUGGUCGAAAGGACACGCUUGGAGAGCGUGCAUAUGAGUAAUCAUAUCGUGGGUUCGAAUCCCACUCUCUCCG